rnacentral:rRNA from 1 species
GUGCCAGCAGCCGCGGUAAUACGAAGGGUGCAAGCGUUACUCGGAAUUACUGGGCGUAAAGCGUGCGUAGGUGGUCGUUUAAGUCCGUUGUGAAAGCCCUGGGCUCAACCUGGGAACUGCAGUGGAUACUGGACGACUAGAGUGUGGUAGAGGGUAGCGGAAUUCCUGGUGUAGCAGUGAAAUGCGUAGAGAUCAGGAGGAACAUCCAUGGCGAAGGCAGCUACCUGGACCAACACUGACACUGAGGCACGAAAGCGUGGGGAGCAAACAGGAUUAGAUACCCUGGUAGUCC